ACAAUGGGCGCAAGCCUGAUGCAGCGACGCCGCGUGAGGGAUGGAGGCCUUCGGGUUGUAAACCUCUUUUAUCGGGGAGCAAGCGAGAGUGAGUUUACCCGUUGAAUAAGCACCGGCUAACUACGUGCCAGCAGCCGCGGUAAUACGUAGGGUGCAAGCGUUAUCCGGAAUUAUUGGGCGUAAAGGGCUCGUAGGCGGUUCGUCGCGUCCGGUGUGAAAGUCCAUCGCUUAACGGUGGAUUCGCGCCGGGUACGGGCGGGCUUGAGUGCGGUAGGGGAGACUGGAAUUCCCGGUGUAACGGUGGAAUGUGUAGAUAUCGGGAAGAACACCAAUGGCGAAGGCAGGUCUCUGGGCCGUUACUGACGCUGAGGAGCGAAAGCGUG
rnacentral:rRNA from 1 species